GCGGACUGCUCAGUAACACGUGGACAACCUACCCUCGGGUCCGGCAUAAUCCUGGGAAACUGGGGAUAAUUCCGGAUAGGUCACAGAAGCUGGAAUGCUCUGUGGCCCAAAGCUCCGGCGCCCGAGGAUGGGUCUGCGGCCUAUCAGGGUUGUAGUGGGUGUAAUGUACCUACUAGCCUACGACGGGUACGGGUUGUGAGAGCAAGAGCCCGGAGAUGGAUUCUGAGACACGAAUCCAGGCCCUACGGGGUGCAGCAGGCGCGAAAACUUUACAAUGCGGGAAACCGUGAUAAGGGAAUCUCGAGUGCCAGCAUAUAAUGUUGGCUGUCCAGAUGCCUAAAAAGCAUCUGUUAGCAAGGGCCGGGCAAGACCGGUGCCAGCCGCCGCGGUAACACCGGCGGCCCGAGUGGUAACCGCUAUUAUUGGGUCUAAAGGGUCUGUAGCCGGCCAGGUAAGUCCUUUGGGAAAUCUGGCAGCGCAACUGUCAGGCUGCUAGGGGAUACUGUUUGGCUUGGGACCGGGAGAGGUGAGAGGUACCUUGGGGGUAGGGGUGAAAUCUUGUGAUCCUCGGGGGACCACCAGUGGCGAAGGCGCCUCACC
rnacentral:rRNA from 1 species